GCCUAGUCUCGUAGACAAGACGUAACAUAGUAAACAUGAAUCCGGAAUACUCAAAUUGCAUAAACCUGCUCUCCGCCGCCAGUACAAGGAGAUGAUUGAGGGUGAACAAGCAACACUUCAGCUUUAACUGUCUGGAGCUUUCACUCAGAUAAAACCAGGUUUCAGCUGCUGUGCAAAUUUGAUGUCCUUCCUCC